rnacentral:tRNA from 1 species
GAGGGUACAGCUCAGUGGUAGAGCGUGUGCUUAGCAUGCACAAGGUCCUGGGUUCAAUCCCCAGUACCUCCA